UACGAAGGUAAACAGGAAUCGUUUUUCCUUUUCUGAGAGGUAUGUAAUCUACAGGGGAAGCAGGCAGCACCUGAAAGGGGAGGAGAGGUUGGUGGGCCAUGCAGGGUUGAAGGAGGAGCAUAGGAACAUGGGUCUGGGAAAGUUUGGCUAGCUUUACAGUGCUCAAUUGAAAUACUACUUUGGAAUAUUUUCUCAACACCAGGGUUCAAGUUUGUUAGUCCUACUGAGACAUCAGGUCAGAAGAAAAGAACAAAAGUGAGAAGGCAUUCAUGGCUUUGCAUUCUCAGAAAGACAUCCUGCUGGUUCAACUGUAGUUUUAACGUGAGCUCUCCUCGGGCCUGGGAGAAAUUCUGAGAAUGACCCCUGUGAAUGAGCUCAGUGGUGAGAAGUCCAAGGACAGGAUGAGGUCGACAUUGCAAGUGUUUUUGGAAUAAGAAUCAACACACUUAAAGACUGGGAUUUGGAAGUGAGAAGGAGUACCUGGAAGUGAUUCAGGAAAACAAGGAAAUGAGACACAAGUGGCAACAUUUGUCAAAGUUCUAUGCAUUUGUUCCUUUGGAUUUAAGUGAAACAUCUGGAGUCAAUUCUUAACCCAAUGUUGGUUUGUUGUCACCAACCUCUUUGCCCUGCUAUUGGUAAAUAUAUUACAUUUCUGUAUGUUAUAUGCCCACAAAUACAAUUAAAAGUAUACUGCUUUAUGAUUUUUAAACAAGAUAAGAAAAGAUAAUAAGCAAUUAUACUCCUUUAUAAUUGCAUAAUUACCUUUAUCAGUGUUCUUUGU